rnacentral:rRNA from 1 species
GACGAACGCUGGCGGCGUGCUUAACACAUGCAAGUCGAACGAAGUGGCGCACGGGUGAGUAACGCGUAAUCAACCUGCCCUUCUGCGGGGGACAACAGUUGGAAACGACUGCUAAUACCGCAUACUGAAGGUGGGGAUUGCGUCUGAUUAGCUCGUUGGAGGGGUAACGGCCCACCAAGGCGAUGAUCAGUAGCCGGGCUGAGAGGAUGAACGGGCACAGUGGGACUGGGAAACGGCCCAGACGUCUACGGGAGGGAGCAGUGGGGAAUCUUUCGCAAUGGAGGAAAGACUGACGGAGCAACGGCGCGUGAGGGAUGACGGCCUUCGGGGUGUAAAGCUCUGUUAAGCGGGACGCGGUACCGGAAUAGAAAGCCACGGCUAACUACGUGCCAGCAGCCGCGGUAAUAC